rnacentral:rRNA from 1 species
UGUGAGCUCGAUGAGUAGGGCGGGACACGUGGUAUCCUGUCUGAAUAUGGGGGGACCAUCCUCCAAGGCUAAAUACUCCUGACUGACCGAUAGUGAACCAGUACCGUGAGGGAAAGGCGAAAAGAACCCCGGCGAGGGGAGUGAAAAAGAACCUGAAACCGUGUACGUACAAGCAGUGGGAGCACGCUUAGGCGUGUGACUGCGUACCUUUUGUAUAAUGGGUCAGCGACUUAUAUUCUGUAGCAAGGUUAACCGAAUAGGGGAGCCGAAGGGAAACCGAGUCUUAACUGGGCGUUAAGUUGCAGGGUAUAGACCCGAAACCCGGUGAUCUAGCCAUGGGCAGGUUGAAGGUUGGGUAACACUAACUGGAGGACCGAACCGACUAAUGUUGAAAAAUUAGCGGAUGACUUGUGGCUGGGGGUGAAAGGCCAAUCAAACCGGGAGAUAGCUGGUUCUCCCCGAAAGCUAUUUAGGUAGCGCCUCGUGAAUUCAUCUCCGGGGGUAGAGCACUGUUUCGGCAAGGGGGUCAUCCCGACUUACCAACCCGAUGCAAACUGCGAAUACCGGAGAAUGUUAUCACGGGAGACACACGGCGGGUGCUAACGUCCGUCGUGAAGAGGGAAACAACCCAGACCGCCAGCUAAGGUCCCAAAGUCAUGGUUAAGUGGGAAACGAUGUGGGAAGGCCCAGACAGCCAGGAUGUUGGCUUAGAAGCAGCCAUCAUUUAAAGAAAGCGUAAUAGCUCACUGGUCGAGUCGGCCUGCGCGGAAGAUGUAACGGGGCUAAACCAUGCACCGAAGCUGCGGCAGCGACACUAUGUGUUGUUGGGUAGGGGAGCGUUCUGUAAGCCUGUGAAGGUGUACUGUGAGGUAUGCUGGAGGUAUCAGAAGUGCGAAUGCUGACAUAAGUAACGAUAAAGCGGGUGAAAAGCCCGCUCGCCGGAAGACCAAGGGUUCCUGUCCAACGUUAAUCGGGGCAGGGUGAGUCGACCCCUAAGGCGAGGCCGAAAGGCGUAGUCGAUGGGAAACAGGUUAAUAUUCCUGUACUUGGUGUUACUGCGAAGGGGGGACGGAGAAGGCUAUGUUGGCCGGGCGACGGUUGUCCCGGUUUAAGCGUGUAGGCUGGUUUUCCAGGCAAAUCCGGAAAAUCAAGGCUGAGGCGUGAUGACGAGGCACUACGGUGCUGAAGCAACAAAUGCCCUGCUUCCAGGAAAAGCCUCUAAGCAUCAGGUAACAUCAAAUCGUACCCCAAACCGACACAGGUGGUCAGGUAGAGAAUACCAAGGCGCUUGAGAGAACUCGGGUGAAGGAACUAGGCAAAAUGGUGCCGUAACUUCGGGAGAAGGCACGCUGAUAUGUAGGUGAAGCGACUUGCUCGUGGAGCUGAAAUCAGUCGAAGAUACCAGCUGGCUGCAACUGUUUAUUAAAAACACAGCACUGUGCAAACACGAAAGUGGACGUAUACGGUGUGACGCCUGCCCGGUGCCGGAAGGUUAAUUGAUGGGGUUAGCGCAAGCGAAGCUCUUGAUCGAAGCCCCGGUAAACGGCGGCCGUAACUAUAACGGUCCUAAGGUAGCGAAAUUCCUUGUCGGGUAAGUUCCGACCUGCACGAAUGGCGUAAUGAUGGCCAGGCUGUCUCCACCCGAGACUCAGUGAAAUUGAACUCGCUGUGAAGAUGCAGUGUACCCGCGGCAAGACGGAAAGACCCCGUGAACCUUUACUAUAGCUUGACACUGAACAUUGAGCCUUGAUGUGUAGGAUAGGUGGGAGGCUUUGAAGUGUGGACGCCAGUCUGCAUGGAGCCGACCUUGAAAUACCACCCUUUAAUGUUUGAUGUUCUAACGUGGACCCGUAAUCCGGGUUGCGGACAGUGUCUGGUGGGUAGUUUGACUGGGGCGGUCUCCUCCUAAAGAGUAACGGAGGAGCACGAAGGUUGGCUAAUCCUGGUCGGACAUCAGGAGGUUAGUGCAAUGGCAUAAGCCAGCUUGACUGCGAGCGUGACGGCGCGAGCAGGUGCGAAAGCAGGUCAUAGUGAUCCGGUGGUUCUGAAUGGAAGGGCCAUCGCUCAACGGAUAAAAGGUACUCCGGGGAUAACAGGCUGAUACCGCCCAAGAGUUCAUAUCGACGGCGGUGUUUGGCACCUCGAUGUCGGCUCAUCACAUCCUGGGGCUGAAGUAGGUCCCAAGGGUAUGGCUGUUCGCCAUUUAAAGUGGUACGCGAGCUGGGUUUAGAACGUCGUGAGACAGUUCGGUCCCUAUCUGCCGUGGGCGCUGGAGAAUUGAGGGGGGCUGCUCCUAGUACGAGAGGACCGGAGUGGACGCAUCACUGGUGUUCGGGUUGUCAUGCCAAUGGCACUGCCCGGUAGCUAAAUGCGGAAGAGAUAAGUGCUGAAAGCAUCUAAGCACGAAACUUGCCCCGAGAUGAGUUCUCCCUGACUCCUUGA